AUGCUAGCGAAGCGGUGGUCCAUGGUGCCUUCGUCGUUGUCGUCCUCGGCAGAAGGUGAGGCCAAGAUGGAUCUCAACAUUCUUUGUGAUAUUCGUCAUCCAUGGAAGAUGCAGAAGAAAAACUCAUGCAGAUCGAGCGAAGAAGAGAAGAGGAAGGAUCUUGAGGAAGAGGAAAAAAACAAGGCAAUGGGACUAUUGACUGGUACACAUGAAUCUAAGGUCCAGAUUCUAGCUACACCCUUUACUACAACAAUCUCAGGCUUUACUGAAAAAUGUACUACUUAUAUAGUUGAUAUCUUCAAUUCAUAUGGUCGUCCGCUGGAUGAUCACUGGUCUUCGGUUCAUAUGGUCACUGGCUGGAAGCUUGCUGUUAUGUUUGCUUCAUAUGGUGGUCGACUGGAAGCUCGCGGUCUGAAUGAUCUCAUUGUCUAUGGCCAGCAAUACACACUUUUCAUUACUACGAGCCAGGGGUUCACGGGCCAUCAUGAUGAUAUACUUGGUUCUUUAAAGAAGAAUGGUAAGAACUAA
rnacentral:rRNA from 1 species